UUUUACAUUUUUAACUUUAUAAUGCUAUAACUUAUUGAAAAGUGUAUUCAUCAAAUUAAUUUUUUUAUAGGAAAUACUAUUUUUUAAUAAUCCCUUUUUUAUUCGACAUACUUUAUCUUAAUCAGGAUAUUAAUAAGGAACUAGCAGUUUAUGAAGCUUUUGGAAUAAUCCACCAAUUUUUUAAAAUUAAACACUAUCUAAAGAUUUGCAUCGAAGCGUUUUUUUUUUAUAGUGAUUUUAAUCACUGUCAGAUUAAAUCUAUACUGGACCCAACUAUGCAACAUCCCCACUGUGCCGCUACCCCCCUGUGCUGGGUUUUUUUUAUUGUUAUUUUACGGAUUUACAGUCCACAGAAUAUGUAUUAGUUAUAAGCAGGAGAUGUAUGUUAUUAUUUUCGUUAUUAAUUUUAGCUAAUUCUAUUUAUCAUUUGGGUCUUGUUUGUUUAUUAUGUUUCUAUCAUAACGGAAAUAUCAUAUUGUGAAUAUAUAUAUAUGUUGUUUUUCUUUCUAUCUAUAGUAUUUUGUAAGGCUCAAUUUCCACAAUUUUAUAUUUUCCUUCCUUCCGCUAAGGCAUGCCCAAAAAUACAUAUGGUCAAUCGUAUUGAUUAAACAAACAAAAAGGUUACAAAAUCGCAAAUUGCCGAUACUAAAGAAAAUAUAGCCGGCAUUGCACACACAGUUUGUAAAUUUAUGCAUUUAAACAAUAUUUUUGUAAUUUUCCAAAAACACUUAGUCCGUUUAAAUUUAUUAUAAGAUAUAAUAAAAACUCAAACAAAUUUUCUGAAAAAAGAAUACGUUAAUCCUCUUAAGGGGUAAUAUCCACCAAAUUUUUUUUUUUUUCAUUUUUUUUUUUAUUGGCUUAAAUCAUGCUAAAACUAUCCUAGAAUCAAAAUCUUCAACGCCCAAGUACUGAUCUAAACUCAAAAUUCGUUUAAAUCAAUUUUUUCCAAACAACUUUUAUGCUCCAAAAUCACAUUUUUCGCUUAUUUUAGCGAUGCUCGUUUUUUUUUUAAUUUCGCGGCUUUGUAAAUUAGUAGAAGUUACCUAUGAUCGAUAUCUUUUUUUGAAUAUGAAGUAUAGAAUUUCGAUCGUUACAGCGUCUGUACAGCACGUGUUUACUCACAAUUUCCCUUUGUUUAGUCGAUCAGCCGUUCUAGUUGUGUACGUUCUUAGUUUGAGUUUUGCUAUACUUUUUAACUGUGACUUAUAUUCAAAAGUACUUAAUUAUGAGUAACAAGUUGUACAGUGGCCACAAAGGCAGUAAAACAAGAAGUACCAGAACAACCCGGAGUAAAAUUAGUAACCGAUACCCGCCUAACCGCUAUGCUUCGAAGGCUAUUCGAAAUAAGGCGAGAAAAUUAAAAACUUCUGAUUUAAAUCGUGAUUGCGAUGUUGAUAGGGAUUUCGGCUACUGUUUCAUACAUUUUUUUUCGCUGUAUUUACUGCUCUUUCUGAAUUAUUAGUAUGUAAAAAAUGUAAUAGUGAUGUGCGGUUUUCACAGUCGAGCAAGCGUGGACUAGGCUUCAAGAUUGUUGUGUCUUGUUCGAACUGCGGUGAUGCCGAUAUUUUUAACUGUCCUCUAAUACAUGAUCGUGCUUAUGAGAUCAAUUGCCGUAUUAUUUUUGCUAUGCGCAUCAUUGGCAUAGACAUCAACGGUAUAAAAAAGUUCUGUGCGAUGAUGGAUCUCGCAAAGCCUAUUUUUCAAACAACUUACAGUAUGAUCAUUUCCAAUAUUGGCACUGCUACUUCAUCUGUUAAAAUUAUUUCUAUGAAAAAAUCAGCUAUUGAAGAGAAAGAACGUUCUAUUGAACGAGGUGAAGAAGGCGGUCUUACGGUGUCAGGCAAUGGAUCUUGGCGUAAGAGGGGGUUUUCAUCUUUGUUUGGAUUAGUUACUUUAAUUGGUUGGCACACUGGCAAGGUAUUAGAUGUGUGUGUAAAAUCAAAGUACUGUAAAGUGUGUGAAUAUUGGCAAAAAAAAAGAAGGUACUGCUGAGUACGAGGAGGUGUACCCUUCGCACAAAGAGAGUGUUCUUGGUGUUCUUGACAGCACAGUAAAGCGCUUGGUACUCUUGCAACAUACGAGCACAAGAGUCCAAUGCAUGAGGAUGUUUUCAAGGCGAUACAACCCAUGUAUAAAGAACUCAGCUCCGACAACCUUCAGUCACGCUGCUUGGUGUUUUUAGUCAAUUGCUCCAAAAACGAUAUCUAGCGAUAAGAUUAUAGUUGAUAUUGCGACUGAUGUAGCCGUUAUUAUUUUCAACGAAGGUUUAUCCGGUAUGUUUGUCGUUUAUGAUGCUCUUGGGUUAACCGUUGGACCGAACAUGUACGAGUUUUGCGUAGGAUCGGACGCCAAUCGCGUCAAAGUCUCUGAUCAUCGUAUGUCCGAUAUCGCGAAAGAGGCUAGGAGCAGCCUUACAUCAGACAAAAAAAAGGAAGAAGAGGAAAAUAAGGACCAGGAAGGACAACUUUACGGCGCAGGGAUAGCUGACUGAAGGUGGAGUUGGGCACGACUUCUACUGCUCGCCGCGGAAGAACUUUUUAAAAAAGCAGUUCACGGCAAUCGCUGCACAGCCGCCAUUUUAUAAAAAAAAUAACAAUAAAACAUAUUUUUCUAUUCUCCAAGAGUUGCUUAAUCCAAUGAUUCGAUUCAAGACUUUAUCCAUCCAGAAGAAUCUAACCAGUGUUUUAUAAUAAAUGGUAUAGUACUAGUAAAACGCGACAGUGGACAAAAACUAUGCCCGACAAAAUAACCGACUUAAAGAAAUCAAUAAAACGUGAAAUUUUAAAUAACCCAAAAUUGAAAAAUACCAUUCAAAAUCAAAUUCAAGAUUUAAUGUCCAAAUUUAUCCAAGGAAUCGUUCAGAAUUUUUUAAGGGAAUCUACCGAUUAUUUGAUAAACAAUAAUAGUGAUCCAGAAAAACUUAAGGAAGAGGAAAUAUAUAUGAACAAAAGACUAACCGAGUUGAAGGACUUACGGCACAUUAAUGAUAAAUCUAUAUUUUGAAAUUUUAUAGAAAAAAACAAUAAGAAAAUAUCUUAUUCCUCCAGCUCCGUCACUUUUCCAAGUUCUACCAACUCUUCUAAAAGCGGAUAAUAAUAUUAAAAACCAAGGUUAAGUUUGGAUGAAAUCAAACGCGGUGUUCAAUUGAGGCCGAUGAUGCUAAUGGUUAAAAUUAUAAAAUAACCGACGAUAGAUGAAAAAGAUAUGCAAAGAAUGAACCAAUUAGAUAUUGUCAUGUUCCGUCGAGCAGUUUUAGCUCCGAUUCCUCAUCAGAAUAUUUUUGUCUGGAUGAAUGGGAUUAACUAAAUAAAAAUUAAUCGAAAAGAAUAGCCUGGAUAAAUAAUGUCAAGUUAUAAUUAAAAAGUCAACCGCUCUGGAGCAUAGUAGGAGGGUAAUCAAAGGGUGACCAAGAUGAGCUGAAGAUAUCG